GAAAUCUGCGAAGAUCUCUUUAAUAUCCCUCACGCAUUCAUCACUGCUUCCAUCUCGACCUAGAGUACACACAACAUUAAAUGAAACGUCUUCCUGAUAUGGUGCCAGUUUUUUCAUCCCUGACUUGACUAGCAACAAAGAUGACACAUUCAGCUUGAUAUUUCAUAAAAAUAAACACAUUUCCUGUUUGCUUUCAAUGAUUUUAUUGAAGAAUAAACCAUUGCAGCGGUCACAUAAUUUUUUCUUUUUUUUCUUCUCUUUUUUUUUUUGCUUUUAAGUUGCUUGAGAAAGAAAAGUCUUACACAUGCACUUUUAUACAAAGAGCGCAGGCCAAACUUAUCGCAACCCUAAGCGGUUUUAGGUGACCUUCUGGGUCAGUCAUCUUUAAGCCAAAGUUUAAUGAACAACGAGCAGUUUGCUUUUAGCUAUAAGCGAGUCUCCAACAAAUGUAAAGCUGUGUCUGAGCGCUGCCACAUGUAAGGAGAGCUUCUUCACCGGCAGCAGCAGAAGCAAAAACCAAUUGGUUGAAUUUUGCGUUUAGACGAAAAAUGUCGCCCCCAAAUUGGUGGAUGUGUGCUUCAACAAAUUAAGGAUUGAAUUUGGGGAAUAUUCUUCUUUUUUUGAUGGGGGAUUUUUUAUGUGGGUGAGCAGUUCUUCAAUUCGAGCCCCGAGCUGCUUUUUAAACACCCUGAUUUACUAGUAGCAGACAUGCUUCCCUUUCACACGGCUGUGUUUUUCGCCUACGCGCUGUUACGACAUUUCCAUACACCAGUGGAGACAGUAUUCCCGAAAGAAUGGAAGGACUUGCAUUCAACUACCAAUAAAAAGCGAACAAGGUAUCCUUAUUCCAGAAAAAAAAAAUCACUGGCAAUCAAUCACCCCGGUGAAAUUUACAGGGUAUAGGCCUGUGCAAAUUUGCAGCUUACAUUGAGAUUUUUUGGUGUUUCGGAAGCUUUAUGAUGACAAAUAAAGGCGCUGCCUUUAGAUACAAGCAUAUUUGUUCACGUGAUUGUUCUCUUCUUCAAGCAGGCUCUUACCUCACCAGUCCAUUUUGAUAAAGGGUGGCGUUUAUUUCCUCGUCUCGGCUGUGUGAUUGUGAAAAUGUUCCUCUCUCUACUUCUUUUUUUAUCUUCCCAUUUUGAGGAUUGCAACUCGCCCUUACUCCACCAUUCAAAGGCAAGCUCAUGUGCACUUUGGAAGGACUUUAAUUAUAUAUUUUUAAAAAUACAGCUUCUAUAGCAACCAUCCCUGCACUUUUGCUGCUUUUGUGUCUGCAGAAAGGAUCUCAAAUAAAGAAAUUUGAAGGAUUUCAAGUAAUGUUUUGCGUAAAUUCACAACAAACGCACAUCUUUCAAAUCAUUUUGGACAUUUUUUAUUUUUUGUGCUUAUGCCAAUGGGCCUACCAGAGCGUUUUAAAGAAUGAUUUAUGGGGAAAAUGACAUGUGAGUUUUUCAUGCAGAUGGGCAUGGAUUGUAUUCAAAUAAAGCGCAUCAUCUCCUCG